rnacentral:rRNA from 11 species
AUCUGCCUAUGGCCAUACCACCCUGAACACGCCCGAUCUCGUCUGAUCUCGGAAGCUAAGCAGGGUCGGGCCUGGUUAGUACUUGGAUGGG